ensembl:lncRNA
UCAGCAAGAAAGACUUAAGCAUUGCCUCAAAACUAAAACAGUUAAAAGAAAGCUGUAUAGAAAAUUACACUAACUGCUGGAAGAAUCAAAUGAAAGAAUCCAGCAAGCUAAAUGUAUACAGAACAUUAAAAAAGGACUGCAAAUUGGCACCAUACUUAAUCCAAAUAAAAAAUUAUAAACAAAGAAUUCUAUUAACAAAGUACAGGCUCAGCGACCAUAGUCUUGCAGUAGAAAACGGGCGACACAGACAAUGCUGGGUGGCUCCCGAAGGGAGACUAUGCGUCCACUGCAAUAUUAACGCUGUCGAAAAUGAGCCUCAUUUUCUGACGGAAUGUACAAAAUACCACAAUAUAAGAAGUGCAUAUUACAAACAAUUUGAAUACAUCCACCCAGGUUUCAUAAACCUAACGAACCAACAAAAACUACCAUUCCUCCUGGGGGUAAUAGAGACAUGUAACAUUUUAGCCUCCGAAUAUGUGCAGUCCUGCCACAUCCUCCGAGAGCAGGCCAUACCACCAAUAAACAUAGGCCUGAACUCAUAGUGUUUUUUUUUUUUAGUUUUUUUUUUUUUUUGUAUCUAUUCUUAUCUGUCUAUGUUUUUUCUUUACGUAAUUAUUAUAAUUGUAAUGUUUUUUAUUUAAGCAUUUUUAUUUUAUGUAUUUUUAUUUAAUUAACUUAUCUGUUCCUGUAUUACCAUUGUUGUUCUUAUUGUUGUUAUUAUUAUUGUUCUUAUUGUUUAAGUGCUUUGGCAACAGUGUACCAUACAUUCAUGCCAAUAAAGGCAUUGAAAAUUGAAAAUUGAAAAUUGUAUGAGAGAGAGAGAGAGAGAGAGACAUGGAUGGACAGUAAGGGACAGAGAGAGAGAGAGAGAGAGAGAGAGAGGGAGGAGGAGAGAGAUGGAUGGACAGUAAGGGACAGAGAGAGAGAGAGAGAAGAGCAGUAAAAAGAAACAGAGAGAGAUGGAAAGGAGUUCAGUGGUUCUCUGCACUCAGGCAGCCCACAGGUCAAACGGCUCAUUACCUGGAGUAACCUCUCUCUCUCUCUCUCUCUCUCUCUCUCUCUCUCUCUCUCU